rnacentral:rRNA from 1 species
UACGUAGGGUGCGGGCGUUAAUCGGAAUUACUGGGCGUAAAGGGUGCGCAGGCGGUUCUGCAAGUCAGGCGUGAAAGCCCCGGGCUUAACCUGGGAAUGGCGCUUGAAACUACAGGACUGGAGUAUGGCAGAGGGAGGUGGAAUUCCACGUGUAGCGGUGAAAUGCGUAGAGAUGUGGAGGAACACCGAUGGCGAAGGCAGCCUCCUGGGCCAAUACUGACGCUAAUGCACGAAAGCGUGGGGAGCAAACAGG